GAUGAACGCUAGCUGCAGGCUUAACACAUGCAAGUCGAGGGACCGGCGCACGGGUGAGUAACACGUAUCCAACCUGCCCUUUACUCGGGGAUAGCCUUUCGAAAGACAGAUUAAUACCCGAUAUAAAGGAUGGGGAUGCGUUCCAUUAGGUUGUUGGUGAGGUAACGGCCGACCAAGCGUUCGAUGGUUAGUGGUUCUGAGAGGCAGGGCCACCACAUGGGAACUGAGACACAGUCCAAACUCCGACGGAAGGCUGGAGUGAGGAAUAGUGGUGAAUGGGCGGUAGCCUGAACCAGCCAAGUAGCGUGAAGGGUGAAGGCGUAUGGGACGUAAACUUCUGUUAUAGAAGAAUAGGUAAUAUAUGAAUAAGGAGCGGCUAACUCCGUGCCAGCAGCCGCGGUAAUAC
rnacentral:rRNA from 1 species